CCUUACGGGAGGCUGCAGUGGGGAAUAUUGGACAAUGGGCGAAAGCCUGAUCCAGCCAUGCCGCGUGUGUGAAGAAGGCCUUCGGGUUGUAAAGCACUUUCAGUGGGGAAGAAAGCCUUGGGGCUAAUACCCUCGAGGAAGGACAUCACCCACAGAAGAAGCACCGGCUAACUCCGUGCCAGCAGCCGCGGUAAUACGGAGGGUGCGAGCGUUAAUCGGAAUUACUGGGCGUAAAGCGCGCGUAGGCGGUCUGAUAAGCCGGUUGUGAAAGCCCCGGGCUCAACCUGGGAACGGCAUCCGGAACUGUCAGGCUAGAGUGCAGGAGAGGAAGGUAGAAUUCCCGGUGUAGCGGUGAAAUGCGUAGAGAUCGGGAGGAAUACCAGUGGCGAAGGCGGCCUUCUGGACUGACACUGACGCUGAGGUGCGAAAGCGUGGGUAGCAAACAGGAUUAGAUACCCGGGUAGUC
rnacentral:rRNA from 1 species